UGUGUGAGUGCUUAAGUGCCUAGUUAAAUUGCCUUUAUGAUGGAAACUUUUUCCACAAGUUCUACAUGAGAAAGGCUUCUCAACUGUGUGAGUCCUCUUGUGACUAGUUAAAUUGCUUUUUUGACAAAAACUUUUUCCACAAGUCCCACAUGAGAAUGGUUUCUCACUUCUAUGAAUUUUCAUGUGACUAGUUAAACUGCUUUUACAUUGGAAA